GCGACCCCAGGACGGGCGAGGCCACCCGACGAGUUUAAGCAUAUCAAUAA
rnacentral:rRNA from 1 species